AUGCAUAUACAAUUUGGGUUGUGGUUGCUGCGUAUCUGUUUCAAAUGGGUUAUGGGCUCUUCUCACACUUUCAGGUCAAAGGGGACUUUGGAAUCCAUAGUGUAUCUAUGUAUGCAUAUAUGAUCAUGGAUCAGCCUUCCCAUUUCUGUCACUGUGUCCCUAUAUGGUUCAUUAUCAUGUAUGUUACUUCACUCGAAGGCCAUACACAAUCCAAACAAAACAAAACACAGAAACUGUGUUGGCUAUUUUGACUUUCUGUUGAAACUAUUCUCUUUGGUCAUAUAUAUAUUUAAAAAAUAUUUUAUAUAUAUAUAUUUUUAAAAAAUAUUUUUUAUAUAUAUAUAUAUAUUUUUUUUUUUUCAAGUGAUUACCCUGCCUCAGCCUCCCAAGUAGCUGGGAUUACAGGCACCUGCCAUCAUGCCCGGCUAAAUUUUUUUUGUGUGUGUAUUUUUGUAGAUACAGGGUUUCACCAUUUUAGCCAGGCUCGUCUUCAACUCCUGAUCUCAGGUGAUCCGCCGGCCUCAGCCUCCCAGAUUGCUGGGAUUACAGGCGUGGGCCACCACCUAAGAUAUAUGUAUAUAUAUAUAUGUAAUCUUUUUCAGUAUAUUCUCAGGGUGUGUUUGAGGAAACCUUUUUUUUUUUUUUUUUUUUUUGGCCAUUGUCCAAGGGUUUAGAACUGAAUGGGAAUGUCUGUAAAUGGAUCUGAUGGAGGUUGGAAUGUGUAUCAGCUUUUAAUCAUCACUGUAACAAAUUACUAAAACAUUCUCUUUAUUAUCUCUCACUUUAGAAGUGUGGGAGGGCUGGACUGAUGACUCUGCUUAUAGUCUUACAAGGACAAAAUCAAGGUGCUCUUGGGCUCCUUAUGAAGGCCCUAGGGCAGAAUGUGUGUCCAAGCACAUACAGGUUAGAGCAGAAUUCAACUUCUUGUAGUUGUAGGAGUGAGGUCCCAAUUCAUCACUGGCUGGUAGUUGGGGCCUCUCAGCAAUGUCAGGCUGCCUGCGUUGCUCUUCAUAGUGCCCAGUUUAUUUUCUAAACCAGCAAUGGUGCAGAGAGACAUUCUCCUGCUUCUAGUUUCUCUGGCUUCCCCUCACCCACACCUCUCUUCUGUGUCUCUUCUGCCUCCAACCAGAGUUAAAUCUCUUAAGUGCUCAUGUGAUUACAUGGAGCCCACUGCAUGAAUCACGAUCAUCUCCUAAGGUCUGCAACCUUAAUUACAUCUGCAAAAUCCCUUAUGUGAUGUAACAUAUUCAGUUUCCAGGGCAUCUUGGAGAGUCAUUCUCAUUCUUGCUGCCACAAAAUAUUCCUCAUUCCUUCAUGAAAUGUUGUUUGCUUUCAUAUAUUUGUCUCUAGAGAAGCAUCAGGUAUUUUCUCUUUGAGAUUUUCUAUUGCUUAUUUCAUUAGUUUCUUUCUGGACCUAUUCCAUCUGGGCUAGCAAUUCUGAAAACAAAGUAGUGUGGAUCAAACUCUGUCAUCUGUUUCUGUCACACAGAUUACAGCCCUCAUCCUGAAGGAGGGACAGAUUUCAGUCCCAUCCUAAUAAAAAAAAAAUCUCUGUUCCGUUUACUGUUUUCUUCUACUUGGUUUGGAAAAAUUUUGUUAGAGGCAAUUGUCGAUACCACAUAUGGCUGAGAGCAGGUAUAGGAGGUAUCCUGGUACUCAUACUUGGAAACCCUUAAUUUGGCAUCAUCCUCAGCACAUGAAAUUUCUCAGAUCACUAACAAUCUUGGACCGAUGAUGAUUCCUUAAGCCAACUUCGUUCUUCUGAAAAGGCUGGCGGGCAUGGCUGCAUUUUUCUGAGGACUCCUAUGUUAUCAUCCACUCAAGAUACACCAAGGCAUUAACUA
rnacentral:lncRNA from 1 species